UGUUGGUAGGGUAAUGGCCUACCAAGACUAUGAUCAAUAGCUGAUUUGAGAGGAUGAUCAGCCACAUUGGGACUGAGACACGGCCCAAACUCCUACGGGAGGCAGCAGUGGGGAAUCUUGCACAAUGGAGGAAACUCUGAUGCAGCGAUGCCGCGUGAGUGAAGAAGGCCUUUGGGUUGUAAAGCUCUUUCGUCGGGGAAGAAAAUGACUGUACCCGAAUAAGAAGGUCCGGCUAACUUCGUGCCAGCAGCCGCGGUAAUACGAAGGGACCUAGCGUAGUUCGGAAUUACUGGGCUUAAAGAGUUCGUAGGUGGUUGAAAAAGUUGGUGGUGAAAUCCCAGAGCUUAACUCUGGAACUGCCAUCAAAACUUUUCAGCUAGAGUAUGAUAGAGGAAAGCAGAAUUUCUAGUGUAGAGGUGAAAUUCGUAGAUAUUAGAAAGAAUACCAAUUGCGAAGGCAGCUUUCUGGAUCAUUACUGACACUGAGGAACGAAAGCAUGGGUAGCGAAGAGGAUUAGAUACCCUCGUAGUCCAUGCCGUAAACGAUGUGUGUUAGACGUUGGAAAUUUAUUUUCAGUGUCGCAGGGAAACCGAUAAACACACCGCCUGGGGAGUACGACCGCAAGGUUAAAACUCAAAUGAAUUGACGGGGACCCGCACAAGUAGUGGAGCAUGUGGUUUAAUUCGAAGAUACGCGCAGAACCUUACCAACACUUGACAUGUUCGUCGCGACUCUAAGAGAUUAGAGUUUUCGGUUCGGCCGGACGAAACACAGGUGCUGCAUGGCUGUCGUCAGCUCGUGUCGUGAGAUGUUGGGUUAAGUCCCGCAACGAGCGCAACCCUCACUUUUAGUUGCCAUCAUUAAGUUGGGCACUCUGAAAGAACUGCCAGUGAUAAGCUGGAGGAAGGUGGGGAUGACGUCAAGUCCUCAUGGCCCUUACGUGUUGGGCUACACACGUGCUACAAUGGCAUCUACAACAGGAAGCAAAACGGCAACGUUAAGCAAAUCCCGAAAAGAUGCCUCAGUUCGGAUUGCACUCUGCAACUCGAGUGCAUGAAGCUGGAAUUACUAGUAAUCGUGGAUCAGCGUGCCACGGUGAAUGCGUUCCCGGGUCUUGUACACACCGCCCGUCACACCAUGGGAGUUGGUUCUACCUUAAGGCAAGGUUUUAAACCCUUGACCACGGUAUAGUCAGCGACUGGGGUGAAGUCGUAACAAGGUAGCCGUAGGGGAACCUGCGGCUG
rnacentral:rRNA from 1 species